UUCCAGGGUUCUGAAACUGCCGCUCGCCUCGGCACAGGACUCACCCCCAAGAGACGCCUGGGCAGCACAGCACGCGCGACUUUCUGUCAGGCUUUCGCGCCCGGCGCUCCCUCAGUGACAGGCUGGAGGGGGUGGGCGUUCCGACUCGGGAGGACCCCGCCGCGGCCCCGGAAGCGCCUCAUCCUGGGCGGCGGUCGCCUGGCGGUCGCCGUGAUGGCUACGGGGCUGGGCGGCUGACCGCCGGGCUAGGAGCGGGCCCAGCGCCCAGAAUCUCGGCGGCCGCCGCUCGAGCGCCGCCUGCGCCAUGGCCACCUCCGCCGCCUCCUCGGAGCAUUUCGAGAAACUGCAUGAGAUCUUCCGCGGCAUCCAUGAAGACCUACAAGGGGUGCCCGGGCGGCUGCUUGGGACGGCAGGGACAGCUGGCAGAGAUGGAGGAGGAACUACGUUAUGCACCUCUCUCCUUCCGUAACCCCAUGAUGUCUAAGCUUCGAAACUACCGGAAGGACCUUGCCAAACUCCAUCGGGAGGUGAGAAGCACACCUUUGACAGCCACACCUGGGGGCCGAGGAGACAUGAAAUAUGGCACAUACGCAGUAGAGAAUGAGCAUAUGAAUCGGCUACAGUCUCAAAGGGCAUUGCUACUGCAAGGCACUGAAAGUCUGAACCGAGCCACCCAAAGUAUUGAGCGUUCUCAUCGGAUUGCCACAGAGACUGACCAGAUUGGCUCAGAAAUCAUAGAAGAGCUGGGGGAACAACGAGACCAGUUGGAACGUACCAAGAGCAGACUGGUAAACACGAGUGAAAACUUGAGCAAAAGUCGAAAGAUUCUCCGUUCAAUGUCCAGAAAAGUGACAACCAACAAGCUGCUGCUUUCCAUCAUCAUCUUACUGGAGCUAGCCAUCCUGGGAGGCCUGGUUUACUACAAAUUCUUUCGCAAGCAUUGAACUUUUUAUAGAGAGGGCUUUGUGGACCAGAACUUUGACCCUGUGAAUGAAGUGUGUUGCUGCUGUAGGCUAACAGUUCAAGGAUGCACUGUGCAGCCAGACUGUGGGAGGAGGGAGGAAGGAUGGAAAGCCACUUAAAUGUGAAGGAACAGCAACAAGACCAGUAUGAUAUACCAAGAGGCAUUGUAGGACAAGAUGAGCCUGACCUGAAACUUCAAAGCAGCUCUCAUGUCAAGCAGAUUUGGAACCAAUUUGAAAGGCUCUCACUUUUCACUUGCUCUUUAUACACUGGCACAGCCUUAUUGCUUCUCUCCCCAAGUGCUGGUAAUAAAAUACACUGAAUACUA